rnacentral:tmRNA from 1 species
GGGGCUGACACAGCUUUCGACGGAAGGAACUUAACAGAAUACUUAGCAGGUCGAAAAUACACGUUACGUAUAUUUUUAAUUGCAAACAAACUUGCAUCAGCAGUUGCUAGCUUGAAGAGUGCUUUCGCACUUCCAAAACUAGCUUUUGCGCCAAUUGCAGCCUAAUUAAGCUGUAAUCAUCGUCUAUACGUUAGGUGACGUAGGUAUAGAUGGUGUUAUAUUUUUGUCACUUACUGUCGAAUCGAGCGGAGCGGCCGAUCGAUAGGAAAUUUUUCCGCCUAACUAAUUUUUUAUUUGUGUUUGUCUUUUAGAAAAAUUAGUUAUAAAAACUUCAAGAUAGACUAUGCCUGUAGAUGAGUAUUUUGUUACCUUUCGGACCCGGGGGCAGUACCCGGCAGCUCCACCA